UUGUGGUGACUGAAGGGCCCAGGCAGGACUCUGGAAGCACUGGUAACAGUUUGUCACUUGAUCUGGAUGAACACCAGUGUGUUCCGUUUUGGAAAUGCUUUGAGCUGUACUUACCCUAAGUUUUCAAAAGCCUCUUAGUUUCCGGUAGGUUGUACCUGCCUUUGCAACUCUCACAGAAUCCGCCCACUUGUUCAGGCAGGGAUCGCUUGCCUUCCAUUUUUAUUAUUUCAGGCCUCGCACAUGCAAAUCUAACUGGCCAGGACUGACCGUGAAGGAGGGAGAGCUCUGGUCCAUGGGUCUCCCCUCCCCACCUGGCAGGCUUUGGUCAACAGCGCUCAGAAUGAAAGGAAGGUGGUGGUGCUGGCUUUCAAGUCUCCUCCAAACACAACAAACCCGGGUCUGCCUGUCCUCCAUUAGCUUUUGCUCAUUGGAGAGGGAUAACACAUCGCUAAGAAAAAGACUUGUUCUGAGAGUGAGGACUGCCCCCGGAUUUUGUAACCAGUUGCAACCACCUGAAAGCAGCUCUGGGGAAGAGGUCAUUGAAGAGUCUCUCCAGGUGGAAAGUGAAGUAAAUGAACUCUGGGGUGGUGUCUUCCAACUCUCACUUCCAACUCUCCUGUGUUUGUAGACUCCAUGUUCCUAAACAAGGGAAAAUACAGCCACAACCUCCAACGGACAAGAGCUUAUUCAUUCCCUUAAUUUAUCUUUAUUGAGGAUGUUCAAUGUAUAGUGUAAGAAAAGUUGAAAGUGAAUAAAGGAAGCUGAAGAUGUUUAAA